rnacentral:sRNA from 1 species
UGCUAUGCUAAUACUAUGCUAUGCUAUGC